AUUGAACGCUGGCGGAAUGCUUUACACAUGCAAGUCGAACGGCAGCACGGGGCAACCUGGUGGCGAGUGGCGAACGGGUGAGUAAUACAUCGGAACGUGCCCAAUCGUGGGGGAUAACGUAGCGAAAGUUACGCUAAUACCGCAUACGAUCUACGGAUGAAAGCGGGGGAUCGCAAGACCUCGCGCGAAUGGAGCGGCCGAUGUCAGAUUAGGUAGUUGGUGGGGUAAAGGCUCACCAAGCCAACGAUCUGUAGCUGGUCUGAGAGGACGACCAGCCACACUGGAACUGAGACACGGUCCAGACUCCUACGGGAGGCAGCAGUGGGGAAUUUUGGACAAUGGGCGCAAGCCUGAUCCAGCCAUUCCGCGUGCAGGAUGAAGGCCUCGGUUGUAAACUGCUUUGUUACGGAACGAAACGGACGAGCUCUAAUACAGUUUGCUAAUGACGGUACCGUAAGAAUAAGCACCGGCUAACUACGUGCCAGCAGCCGCGGUAAU
rnacentral:rRNA from 1 species